UCCGGCAGCUGGCCUGGCGGGGAGACGAGGCUCUUGGCCUUCACAAGAAACAGGGCAAGAGGGUCGUUAACCUUCUGGCGCCGCUGGAGCCUGGUCAGCCAUCCAGGGUCGCCUUCCUUUGGUCCUGCCCUUGGGAAGGAGGCUGUUGAGUCAAACAUAGCUCCUCGUGGUCUCCUAGGCAGCAGUGUCUACCGCGGGGAUUGCUGGGCGGCCCUUUCGUAGUUUUCUAAGUUUCCUAGGAGUGUUGCUGUAAGCAGAAUGAAGACCAAAAGAAAUUUUUAAAAGGGAACAGAUAAGAAAAGUGAUGAUGAACAAGUACUAGGAGCCUAUGCAUGGCAGAAACAAAGUUUGAUUUCUCAUUUGAUAAAUAAUAAGUAUCAACUGAGUACCAGCCAUUGUUCUAGACUUUGAGGAUUCAGCAAGGAGCAAGGAAGACAAGGUUCAGAUUCCCAAGGAAUUUAUCAGCAAUUGCUUAAUUGACCAGGAAACAAGGAGAACUGGAAGAGCCCCCAGCCUAUAUUUAUUUAAUUCCACCUGCUCAUUUAUAUGAUCUCUUCAUUCCUGGGAACUAGGCUUGUACUUUCGUCUUUCACCCUUCUUCCCCUCCCUACUUUUCCACUUUAUGAGGACUAAUUUUCCGUAAUUCACAAGAUUUGUUACUUUCUGACUUUUCCUCAUGUCUUUCUUUGGAAUUCAUUUUGCCCAUCUCUUUUGGUUGCACUUUCACUCAGUCAAAAGAGUACAGAAGUAUCGACAUUCUCAAACGCUCAGAGUUCCUAGUCUGCAGGUUUGUUUUGUUUUUGUUUUUAAAGUGGGGAAAAAGUUUUCUUUUCUUUUUAAAUUGUGAUAA